AAGCUACUCAAUCUCUCUGUUACGUACUUUCCUGACCUACAAAGUACGGUAUACAUAGAUUGGCAACGGCCACAAAUAUUUUGUAGCUCUUUCCUUUGAGAGGUGGAGCCUAUUUCCCCACCCCUUGAAUCUGGGCUGCCUUGUGGCUGAUUUUGCCCAAUAGAAUAAAGCAGGGGUACUGUUGUAUGAGUCCCAAGCCUAGACUGUGAUAAAUUUAGAAGCUUCCACUCCCUCUGUUGGAAUUCUACCACCAUGUGAAUAGCCCAGGUUGGCCUAGGAGGAUGAGAGGCUGUGUGAGGAAGAGAUAAGUGGUUCCAGCUGAGGGUCCCUAAUACAGUAGCCUGCCAACCACCAGACUUGUGAAGGCACUGUAGGUUGAUUUGUGAGGUCAACCAGUCCCAGCCAACUCACCAGGAGACGGAAAUCAGCUGAGCCAGCCAGAGGAUCAGAAGGACUGCCCAGCUGACCUACAGAACGAAAGCAUUCCUGAUUGAUGUGGGUAUUGAGCACCUAUGGCCUAGAUCCUAUAUGCUACCUGUUCUUCCUGGGGCAAACGUGAAAAGUUGAACCAGGAACCUCGGCUUUCAGUGCGUGUGGACUUAGCUGGGGGCUGCACACCCUGGAAAAGCAAAGGCAACUGCUGCUCCAGAAGCCCCACUGGGAGAGGCCUGCGGGGCGACUACCUCUUGACCUGCAAAUUUCCUUCCCUCUUUGCCCCUAGUCCGGACCAUUUCCUCUAGCAAGGAGUUCGAAGGAUGUAGACUCCUCGAGCCCCCAUCACGCGAAAUAGGUGGUUUGUGCUGCUUCGAACUUGGAGGUGAUGCGCAGAAAACAAUGACCAAGGUGACGCAAUAAUGCCAGAGCUGGACGGGGAGCCCAGCACCUGCCAAGCGGCCCCGUGCCCAGUCACCCACUCUCGAGGAUGCUGGAUCGCCCUGCUCUGCACCGGCCAGCGCUCCACCAUUCGGGAGCUCCGGAUUUCCCUCUUGGAGGUGGAGACGUCGUUUCCACAGUGAUCAAGGGACGUCUGAAGGAACUGAGUGUGGAUCACCUGACCAAGGCGACAGAACCUGCCACGGAGAAGGGCCCCAGAGAGCGUCCUCUGCUCCUGGGGAGCUCCCCGUGCCAGGGCUGGACACACAGCUAGCCAGGGCAGGAGAGGGUCCCCACAGAUUCCCCGAGGACCCGGCUUGUGAACGAACAUCCGCUCUCACCCCCGCAGCCAAUGCCUGGGCCUCUAGAAGAACAGCGGGUCCGCCUCGGCAGGCAGGUGGGCCCAGGACCCUGGCUGCGCACGGGUGCAGGGACCCGGGCACCGCAGCGCUAGCACACGCCACUCCCCACCACUUCCGGCCCAGCAGCCUCGGUGCCCCGGGCUAGGACCCGGGAAAGAGCGAGCAGCGGGAGGAGGGGAAGGGGCGUGGGCAGAGGCCGAGACACCAGGCAUGGACCCUGGCCUCCCUUUGGGUUUGGGGAGUAGAAGAGUGAGGGCGACAGGCAGAGGACGGAGACCAGAGGCAAGGCCCGGAGUUCAGCAAGAACUGAGAGCAUCCAGGGUGGCGCUGGUGUCCACGGCGCCAGGGGCGGAGCAGUUCGAGGCACUGAAAAUAGCGUUAGGGAUGAGGUUCAUGUCCAGACCCUGGAGCAGAUGAAAGAGCGCAAGGGGUGGCAGCAGAUUUCGCACGUCACCCUGGAGAGCAGUAGAAGGCGCCGCGACCCUGCGGCCACCCUCCUUCUGGGGGCGCCCGGUGGCCGGGGCUGGCAGCGCUCAGAGACGGCUGGGAGGACCGAGAGCCUUCGUCAGAGGCCACAGGGAGGCGAACAGGGGGUCGACUAUAUGGCAUGCCCUUGGCGGAGAUCUGGCGCUCUCCACCACUACAAGGUCAGCUAAAUAGGUGUGCAGCCUCCUGGGAACGUCCAGCGUGGAGCUCAACAGCCAAAUAGCCACGAACUCAUAAAGCGAACCACGGCGAGGACACCUAGCGCGGCUACACGAGGACCACAAGACAGCGGUGCAUCCAGCACCGCGAUUCAACUGCGGAGGCCGAGGUCAGCGGUACCCGCAGGGGCACAGGAACACGUGGGUCACGCUGUGCAGGGGCCGGGUCCUGCUGCUGAGGUGGAUAAGUAGGGAGUUACCCAGGACCCCCUCCGAGGUGUCAAGAGCACAGCCCACGAUGAACAGCGGCUUGCAGCACCCCAGGAAUGACCGCCCAGGAGGAAGCCUUUGCCUUUCGAGCGGAUGAGUGGCCCCAGCAGCCGGUCUGGGACGCACAGGCGGCCUGGGAGCCAGCUCAACCUAGCAGGGAGGGAGGCUCUGGUGGUGGCGCCCGGUGUGCUGGCGCUGCACACAGGCCCAGCAGGGCUCCCGGGUUCCCCUGCAGCUCUCUGAACAUGUGAUCUUCCUCAGCUCUGAAUCAGAACGCCUCCUUCGCCACCAGAUUACCAUCCCAUGGGCAGCCCGGGUGGAGCCUAAUUCCCGGCGGGCAGGUCAUUUUGCUUUGGCCCAGCUGCACCGUGAGACUGCUCCUUGUUAAUCUCGCUCUAGGCUUUCGGAAGACAUCCCCUCCUCUCCCAGAAACUAACGUUGAUGUGUCAGUGCCACAAGCUCUGUAGUUAUGUCAUAGAAAGGGUUUGCUGAAGGAGUCUGGGAUAAGAACAAACUAGGGUAGAAGUAAAUAGGAAUUGAGGUCUGU